rnacentral:rRNA from 1 species
AGUGGCGAACGGGUGAGUAAUCCAUAGGAAUUUCCCUCGUAGUAUGGGAUAGCCACUAGAAAUGGUGGGUAAUAAAGUAUAAUCCUUGCGGGGGAAAGAUUUAUCGCUAUUAGAUGAGCAUAUGUUAGAUUAGCUGAAGGUAGGGUAAAGGCCUACCAAGGCAGUGAUCUAUAUCUGGUAGGAGAGGAUGAUCAGCCACAUUGGAACUGAGAUACGGUCCAGACUCAUACGGGAGGCAGCAGUGGGGAAUAUUGGACAAAGGGCGCAAGCAGGAUCCAGGGACACCGCGUGAGUGAGGAAGGCCUUAGGGUUGUAAAACUCUUUCAGUCGGGAUGAUAAUGACGGUACCCACAGAAGAAGUCCCGGCAAACUCUCCUCCAGCAGCCGCGGUAAUGCGGAGGGGGCGAGCGUUGUUCGGGAUUAUG